rnacentral:rRNA from 1 species
AACACGGACCAAGGAGUGCAAGAGAUGCGCAAGUCGGAAGGGUUGUGUUGGGGUCUUUCCCUCGGGAUUGGCCUUGCCUGAGAGACCCAUGUGUUUGGAACGGGCGAAGUGAGAGCAAUUUCUUGGGUGCGAGAGCCUUGGGGAUGACCCGAGGCGCAUCGCUGGCCGAGCCUAAUGGUCACGCUGUGGCCGGUUUCGAGUGCGAGCGUAUCUGUUGCGACCCGAAAGAUGGUGAACUAUGCCUGAGGAGGGUGAAGCCAGAGGAAACUCUGGUGGAGGCCCGUAGCGGUUCUGACGUGCAAAUCGAUCGUCGCACUUGGGUAUAGGGGCGAAAGACUAAUCGAACCAUCUAGUAGCUGGUUCCCUCCGAAGUUUCCCUCAGGAUAGCUGGAGCUCGUUCCGAGCAGUUUCGUCGGGUAAAGCGAAUGAUUAGAGGUAUCGGGGUUGAAAGGACCUCGCCCUAUUCUCAAACUUUAAAUCGGCGAGAAGGGACGUCUUGCCUGCCGGAAGACGUUCCCCGAAUGCAGGGGCUCCAAGUGGGCCGUUUUUGGUAAGCAGAACCGGCGAUGCGGGAUGAACCGAACGUUGGGCUAUGGCGCCGGAGUCGACGCUAAGCAGAUACCAGGAAAGGUGUUGGUUGAUCCAGACAGCAG